rnacentral:misc_RNA from 1 species
AAGGAUCAUUACCGAGUGCGGGCCCUCUGGGUCCAACCUCCCAUCCGUGUCUAUCUGUACCCUGUUGCUUCGGCGUGGCCACGGCCCGCCGGAGACUAACAUUUGAACGCUGUCUGAAGUUUGCAGUCUGAGUUUUUAGUUAAACAAUCGUUAAAACUUUCAACAACGGAUCUCUUGGUUCCGGCAUCGAUGAAGAACGCAGCGAAAUGCGAUAAUUAAUGUGAAUUGCAGAAUUCAGUGAAUCAUCGAGUCUUUGAACGCACAUUGCGCCCCCUGGUAUUCCGGGGGGCAUGCCUGUCCGAGCGUCAUUGCUGCCCUCAAGCACGGCUUGUGUGUUGGGCUUCCGUCCCUGGCAACGGGGACGGGCCCAAAAGGCAGUGGCGGCACCAUGUCUGGUCCUCGAGCGUAUGGGGCUUUGUCACCCCCUCCCGUAGGUCCAGCUGGCAGCUAGCCUCGCAACCAAUCUUUUUAACCAGGUGACCUCGGAUCAGGUAGGGAUACCCGCUGAACUUAAGCAUAUCAAUAAGCGGAGGAA